rnacentral:rRNA from 1 species
CGCGUAGGUGGUAGUGCAAGUCUGGGGUGGAAUCCCAGGGCUUAACCCUGGAACUGCCUUGGAAACUGUAUUACUUGAGUCAGUGAGGGGAGGGUAGAAUUCCUGGUGUAGCGGUGAAAUGCGUAGAUAUCAGGAGGAAGGCCUGUGGCGAAGGCGGCCCUCUGGCGCUGAACUGACACUGAGGCGCGAAAGCGUGGGGAGCAAACAGGAUUAGAUACCCUGGUAGUCCACGCCCUAAACGGUGGGUACUAGGUGUAGGGCUCGUAAGGGUUCUGUGCCGAAGCGAAAGCAUUAAGUACCUCGCCUGGGGAGUACGGCCGCAAGGUUAGAA